UGAUGUCAAAACGGUGAUAACACUUUACAACGGUAGGUCCAAAUUUACCACACAAUUGGCAUUGAGGGUGAGUAGGGAGGUGAGGAGGUCUGUGAGGGGCAGAUGAGGAAGAUCUGUUAGCAGGUCUGUUAUGAGGUCUAUUAUGGGGUCUAGUAUGAGAAAAUGGGACAUGCUGGUGAUUUCCUGAGUAAUGAGAUUGGAAUCGGGGUUGAGG
rnacentral:lncRNA from 1 species